GACGAACGCUGGCGGCGUGCUUAACACAUGCAAGUCGAACGGAAAGGCCCUGCUUUUGCGGGGUGCUCGAUUGGCGAACGGGUGAGUAACACGUGAGUAACCUGCCCCUGUCUUUGGGAUAACUUUAGGAAACUGGGGCUAAUACCGGAUAGGAGCUCCUGCUCCAUGGUGGGGGUUGGAAAGUUUCGGCGGUUGGGGCUGGACUCGCGGCUUACCCGCUUGUUGGUCGGGUAGUUGCUUACCAAGCGUGUGACGGGUAGGCGGCCUGGGAGGGUUACCGGCGACAUGGGGACUAAGAGACGGCGCAGUCGGCAACGGGACGCAGCGGUGGAGAAUAUGGCGCAGUGGGGGGGAGUGAGAUGUGACAGCGCUGGGAGCGGGAUGCCCGGCUACGGGGUGUAAACCACUGUGGACGGAGACGAGGAGUGAGUGACGGUAAUGGGUAAAGAAGCACCGGCUAACUACGUG
rnacentral:rRNA from 1 species